CGCGUAGGUGGUAGUGUAAGUCUGGGGUGGAAUGCCGGGGCUUAACCCUGGAAUUGCCUUGGAAACUGCAUUACUUGAGUCAGUGAGGGGAGGGUAGAAUUCCUGGUGUAGCGGUGAAAUGCGUAGAUAUCAGGAGGAAGGCCUGUGGCGAAGGCGGCCCUCUGGUGCUGGACUGACACUGAGGCGCGAAAGCGUGGGGAGCAAACAGGAUUAGAUACCCUGGUAGUCCACGCCCUAAACGGUGGGCACUAGGUGUAGGGCUCGUAAGGGUUCUGUGCCGAAGGGAACCAUUAAGUGCCCCGCCUGGGGAGUACGGCCGCAAGGUUGAA
rnacentral:rRNA from 1 species